UACGUAGGGGGCGAGCGUUGUCCGGAAUUACUGGGCGUAAAGCGCGCGUAGGCGGAUCUGCAAGUCGGGGGUGAAAUCCCGAGGCUCAACCUCGGAACUGCCUUCGAUACUGCGGGUCUCGAGUCCGGGAGAGGUGAGUGGAAUUCCUAGUGUAGAGGUGAAAUUCGUAGAUAUUAGGAAGAACACCAGUGGCGAAGGCGGCUCACUGGCCCGGUACUGACGCUGAGGCGCGAAAGCGUGGGGAGCAAACAGG
rnacentral:rRNA from 1 species